GGGGCUGUAGCUCAGUGGCAGAGUGCUUGCCUAGAAUGUAUGAGGCACUGAGUUCAAUCCUUAGCACUACA
rnacentral:tRNA from 1 species